UACGUGAGGGGGCAAGCGUUGUCCGGAUUUAUUGGGCGUAAAGAGCGUGUAGGCGGCUUUGCAAGUCCGUUGUGAAAACUCGACGGCUCAACCUCGAGACGCCAGGUGGAAACUGCAAAGCUGAGUCCGGAAGGAGGAGAGUGGAAUUCCUGGUGUAGCGGUGAAAUGCGCAGAUAUCAGGAAGAACCACCCGUGGCGAAGGCGGCUCUCUGGGACGGUACUGACGCUGAGACGCGAAAGCCGUGGGGAGCGAACGGG
rnacentral:rRNA from 1 species